rnacentral:rRNA from 1 species
UUUAGCCAUGCUAGUUGCACGAGUUUAGACUCGUAGCAGAUAGCUCAGUAACACGUGGCCAAACUACCCUAUGGAUCCGAAUAACCUCGGGAAACUGAGGCUAAUAUGGAAUAGCGUUCAUCGCCUGGAGUGGCACGAACGCGAAACGUUACGGCGCCAUAGGAUGUGGCUGCGGCCGAUUAGGUAGACGGUGGGGUAACGGCCCACCGUGCCCAUAAUCGGUACGGGUUGUGAGAGCAAGAGCCCGGAGACGGUAUCUGAGACAAGAUACCGGGCCCUACGGGGCGCAGCAGGCGCGAAACCUUUACACUGCACGCGAGUGCGAUAAGGGGACUCCGAGUGCGAGGGCAUAUAGUCCUCGCUUUUCACGACCGUAAGGUGGUCGUAAAAUAAUUGCUGGGCAAGACCGGUGCCAGCCGCCGCGGUAAUACCGGCACCACAAUUGAUGACCGCUAUUAUUGGGGCUAAAACGUCCGUACCUGGCCCCCCUCUCUAUCGGG